rnacentral:rRNA from 1 species
CAUCCUCCAAGGCUAAAUACUCCUGACUGACCGAUAGUGAACCAGUACCGUGAGGGAAAGGCGAAAAGAACCCCGGCGAGGGGAGUGAAAAAGAACCUGAAACCGUGUACGUACAAGCAGUGGGAGCCCCACCACCAAAGCAUUCUCUGGUGUUGAAGGCCCUGCAAAGCAGCAUCGCGGUGGCGGAGCGUCGUUUGCGACGCCCAACACACAAAACAAGCGGUGAGUGCUUUGGGGUGGGGUGACUGCGUACCUUUUGUAUAAUGGGUCAGCGACUUAUAUUCUGUAGCAAGGUUAACCGAAUAGGGGAGCCGGAGGGAAACCGAGUCUUAAUUGGGCGUUAAGUUGCAGGGUAUAGACCCGAAACCCGGUGAUCUAGCCAUGGGCAGGUUGAAGGUUGGGUAACACUAACUGGAGGACCGAACCGACUAAUGUUGAAAAAUUAGCGGAUGACCUGUGGCUGGGGGUGAAAGGCCAAUCAAACCGGGAGAUAGCUGGUUCUCCCCGAAAGCUAUUUAGGUAGCGCCUCGUGAAUUCAUCUCCGGGGGUAGAGCACUGUUUCGGCUAGGGGGCCAUCCCGGCUUACCAACCCGAUGCAAACUGCGAAUACCGGAGAAUGUUAUCACGGGAGACACACGGCGGGUGCUAACGUCCGUCGUGAAGAGGGAAACAACCCAGACCGCCAGCUAAGGUCCCAAAGUCAUGGUUAAGUGGGAAACGAUGUGGGAAGGCCCAGACAGCCAGGAUGUUGGCUUAGAAGCAGCCAUCAUUUAAAGAAAGCGUAAUAGCUCACUGGUCGAGUCGGCCUGCGCGGAAGAUGUAACGGGGCUAAACCAUGCACCGAAGCUGCGGCAGCGACACU